AUUGAACGCUGGCGGCAGGCCUAACACAUGCAAGUCGAGCGAGCGGCGGACGGGUGAGUAAUGUCUGGGAAACUGCCUGAUGGAGGGGGAUAACUACUGGAAACGGUAGCUAAUACCGCAUACCAUCAGAUGUGCCCAGAUGGGAUUAGCGAGUAGGCGGGGUAAUGGCCCACCUAGGCGCCGAUCCCUAGCUGGUCUGAGGGGCUGACCAGCCCACCUGGAACUUGGACACGGUCCAGACUCCGACGGGAGGCAGCGGUGGGGAAUAUUGCACAAUGGGCACAAGCCUGAUGCAGCCGUGCCGCGUGUGUGAAGAAGGCCUUCGGGUUGUAAGGCACUUUCAGCGGGGAGGCGUUACCCGCAGAAGAAGCACCGGCUAACUCCGUGCCAGCAGCCGCGGUAAUUC
rnacentral:rRNA from 1 species